UACGUAGGGUGCAAGCGUUAAUCGGAAUUACUGGGCGUAAAGCGUGCGCAGGCGGUUAUGUAAGACAGAUGUGAAAUGCCCGGGCUUAACCUGGGAACUGCAUUUGUGACUGCAUGGCUAGAGUUUGGCAGAGGGGGGUAGAAUUCCACGUGUAGCAGUGAAAUGCGUAGAUAUGUGGAGGAACACCGAUGGCGAAGGCGGCAUCCUGGACCGACAUUGACGCUGAUGAGCGAAAGCUAGGGGAGCAAACGGG
rnacentral:rRNA from 1 species